rnacentral:lncRNA from 1 species
GGAGCGGCUGCUGGAGCCGACGCGCGUCUGGUGUGGGGACUCCUGCGCGGCUGUACAGUUAUCCAGUCCCGUGUCGCCGAGGGGUCGGCUCGAGGCUGGCGGAGUGGAGAAGGUUGGAGCUUGGUGUUUGUAGUCUACGAAUGGCCGGUUCUGGGGGCGGCCCUGCCCUUGGUGCAGACCCGUGGCCAACCGUCUGGGUUCCUGGAGGGUUUUGGAGCCUCUCUCGAUUCUGCUUCCUCCUGAGGGUUAUCUUCUGACGACUCCUCCUCGCCCUUUGAACUGUAAGCCUUCCAGUGGCCGGCUGUUCUACCCUUCUUGACCAGGAAAGGUUUUCUCCCUAGCCGCCGUAUCCCAUUGACUCUUCCUUGUUUCUCUUCAUUUAAAACAAAAAGAGUGUAUGUGUGGGAAAUGUUAGAUCUCAAUCUGUCCGUCUGUAGCCCCGUUGCCCCUUUCGUUGUUUGAAACCGCAAUCUGUAGCAUUAUAUACCCUGGCUGUGCUAAUAACGCUGACUUCAUAGACCGGCUUUUGCUCAUUCUCACAUGCCCACCCACAUCUGAGGGUUAUUGAAGUUGGAAACUCAGACUACAAUCUUCCGUGCGAUGACCCGACAUCACUGGGUCAGCUCAGCAUAACUCUGCUUGAGUUUAUUUUCUUAGGGUUUUUGUCGUAUAUUUUUGUUAUCUUUAUUGAUUACUUUUCCACACGAGGUUCAUUGCGACCUCGGGGCUAAGACUGUAUUAUUUUAUAGCUUUUUAAUCUUUGAAUUACUUAGGUGAAGAUUUCCUUCUGUUUGUUUACCUUUUCUGACCUUACAUUCCCUUGGGAGUUUGGAAUUGAUUUUGUGUCAGUUGAUAGCAGAUAGACACAAAGGAGUGAUCUUUCCUGCCUGCUGCUUGUGGCUUUUAAUUAGAUUAUGAGUCUUUGGAAGUGCCCAGAGGGAUUGGAAAGGUUUUGAAAUGUAUUUUCGGAGUUUCAAAUGAUAAAGCUUUUAUUUUUCCAACUAGGGAAGAGUUCUAAUUAGUCUAGUGUCUGAAGCUAAUUAACUGGUUCACCUGCCAUAAGAAUUUGAGAACUGAAGUUAAAAACUGGGCAAUGUGAGGGAUUGUCUACAUUAGUAAAAUGAGUUUAGAGGCCCCCUUAAUUGAUGCUUUUUCUAUAAAAGGGGAUGCACAUAUAUUUUAAAAAGAAUAUUUUGUUAUGUGGGUGUUUUUCUACACAUAUGUCUGUUCAUCAUGGGUAUGCCUGCUGCCCCCUGAAGUCAGAAGAGGGUAUGUGAUCUCUAGGGACUGGAAUUGCUGAUGAUUACCUUGGGUGCUGGGAAUCGAACCAAGGUCAUCCACAAGAGUAGCCAGUGCUGGUGACUGCUGAGCUAACUCUUUAGCCUGGAUACAAAUAUAUUGAAAAAUGUUUUGUGAAACUCUUUUUUUGAAGCUUUGUUCUUAGUAGUCUGAUAGAAUUGGUUAAUGCUUUUGUAUUGCUAUUUGCUAAUGUUAUACACAGAGAUAUUUGGUGUCUUAUUUUCUGGGAACCCUGUAAUUUAAGUGACUUUCCCAGCUGCCUUUUUAAUUAUUGUGUUGCAGUGUUUCUAAUACUUCUUUGUUUUGUUUUGUUUUGUUUUAAAACAGUCUAACCACACAACCUGGGCUAACUCAACUCUUUCUUCCCACCUCGGUGUCCAGAGUGCUGGGUUUAUGGGCGUGUGUCAUUCUUCUUUAAGAGAUACAGUCUGUAACUAUCAAUAAAAUU